rnacentral:rRNA from 1 species
UACGGAGGGUGCAAGCGUUAUCCGGAUUCACUGGGUUUAAAGGGUGCGUAGGAGGGCAGGUAAGUCAGUGGUGAAAUCCCCGAGCUUAACUUGGGAACUGCCAUUGAUACUAUCUGUCUUGAAUAUUGUGGAGGUAAGCGGAAUAUGUCAUGUAGCGGUGAAAUGCUUAGAUAUGACAUAGAACACCAAUUGCGAAGGCAGCUUGCUACACAACUAUUGACUCUGAUGCACGAAAGCGUGGGGAUCAAACAGG